GUGCCCGGAGCCCGCGCAGAGUUUGAAUUCGCUAAGUUAUGGGCGACUCUGUAACCUUAGCAACAGGGUAGCAUGGCCUGUCUGAGAGGACAAGGAUUACCCCUUGCCCUUUACACAUACUAUCUUGCGAUACCUUGGUCCCGGGAGACCCGUAAGAUAGGCUCAAGAGUAUAGCGGAGGUCCAACCCGAGCUUCUCUAAGGAACCAAUGGGGUGUCGAACAGCUGGUUCCUAGUGCAUUCUUGUCUAUAAAGGGCCACAAUAACCUCUGGGGAUUUGAUCCAUUUAGGAGAUGAGGACACUGCAUUUCUAGAAACCGAGGCUGAAGAAGCUGAAACUCAUCCGGAUCUGUAUUACUGAUAGCAGGAAAUGGAUAACGCCAUCUCCAGGGUUGAUAUAGAGAACAAGAACUUCCAAAAUAGUGAAUGGCUGGGAUCCGGGUGACAGUAGGCAUUAAAAGCUACUGGACUGAAGCUGCUGGCUUAUGCAUGGGUCCACUAAGGUGAGAAGAGGCUGCUGGCUCACCUGGAGCAACCUGCGGUAGCACUGAGACUGGAACUCACUCAGCUCCUCUGGAAGAGCCUUUGACCACCUCAACCCCAGGAGGAGAAGUCCUGGUGAACACUCAGGACCUAGAAUGACCAAGAAUGUGGAACCUUAAAGAAAGGAAUGACAAUCACGUCUCUCUGUUUCAUAAAGCUGUUGAUAACCAUCUUGCAGUCCUGCCUUUGUUUCAAAGGGUUAGAUGACCAUCUCUGACUAGCUAGUUCUGCCCACCUUGGGACCAUGUCUUUGUUUCAGGAGGGGCUAACUUGUUGUUAUCCUUAUGUUCUGCUCCUGUAACCCCACGUAUUUUGCCUGCCAAAUCCAUUUGGAAAUCUAUCCCUGAGCUAUAAAAUAAGUCUUGUGUUUCUCACAUCCAAUGCUGACCCCUGGAACCCUGACUUAGGGUGAAGCAGCCCUGUAUAGAUGAAUAAAAAAAGCUUGCUUUAGUUAAUUUGGUCAUGAUGAUUUGGGUCUGUGGUCUUUAUCCUGCCAUUUGGGGGAUUGACACUGGAUCCACCAAGAGUCUUCCAGUCAAUGUCUUAGUUAAUAAAAGAGCAGGUGAGUGUGGAGAAAGAAAAUACAAAUGAGUCUGAACUUGUAAGCCAAAGGGCAGCCAUGAUAGGAACAUUAUGGCUAGAAGAGGCCAGUUGAAAGGACAGUCCAGUCCCGGGCCUCUCCAGCUGGUGAGUGUGUGUGUUUCUCCUUUCCUUUUUUCCUUCCUUCCUUCCAUUGUUGUUGUUUUCAGGAUGGAUUCUUUGUAUAGCCCUGGCUGUCCUGGAACUUACCCUGUAUACUAGGCUGGCCUUGAACUCAAAGAUCCAUCUGCUUCUGCCUCCCAGUAUCCCACUACCCAGCUCAGUUUCCAUUUCUUCAAGUGGUAAGUGAUUAUGGAUUAUUUAAACAGGAUGAUCUUAACUAUUCCCUUUCUCAGUGUUAACAGAGAUCUUAUUCAUUGGCUUUGGAGAAGAUGACUUCUGUGGCUAUCACUUAGUAUGAUGGGGGGGGGAUGUAUGGUCUGUGUGACAGGUGUCCUUAAAACAAAACUAGUGCUAGUGUAGUAGCACUAGAGAGACUGAGUGAGGUGUUUAGAGUUUGAUGCCAGCCUGGCAUAUGGAGAGAGACCCUACCUCAAAGAAUCAGAGCCAUUUCCAGAAAGAUCUCCAUUCUUAUCAGAUUAUACUAUUAAAAUAGUAUGCCAUUUAAAAUUUGUGUCUAGUUGGUUUCUGAAAUACAAAGCUUUCUAAAAAACAAAGGCUUCAAGUAUCUUCAAAGAAAAAGGAAUACUGCGUUAUUACCCUGUAUAACACAGUAUUCUGUUUUCAGAAGCUGCUUGUAGAGCAUUUCUAUGCUCACUUUGCCAAGUUCUAACUCAAAACAAAAGUUUUUCUUUCUUUCUCUUUUUUGGGUACUGGCCGGAAGCCGGGGCAUGUUUUCCCUGGUACACUUUCUGUGAAGUCACUUCUCCCUUUGUACCAUGAACAUAUUCCCCCUGGACUAAAAAUAAAAACAGUUCAAAAAUGCUACCUCAUUUUCUCUGACAGGCUUCUGCUAUUCAGUAGCUCUGCAUUUGUCGUUUGUUUCCAUUUAUAAUCGUAUAAUAAAACUUUAUAAGCUUAAAAAAGACCUACGUUUUCCUAGGACAGGAUUUCUCAACUGUAGUACUAGUUGUAGCCUGGAAAAUUGUGGGAAUACACAUAUACUCUAGGGCAGUGGUUCUCAUCUUGGGGGUCAUGGCCCCUUUGCAGGUUGAGUGACUCUUUAACUGGGGUAGCAUGUCAAAUAUUUAAAUUAUGAUUCGUACAGAAGCAAAAUUACAGUUAUGAAGUAGCAACUUCAUUUUAUGCUUUGGGCUCAGCAUAGCAUGAGGAACAACUCACGAGCUGUAUUAAAGGGUUGCAGCACUAGGAAGGUUGAGCUGGGCUUAGGAGUAUUGAGAGCAUCUCUGCCGUUUGCUCACUAGAUGGCACUGCCGCACCUAGUGAUAGUGUGACCAUCAAGGGUACAAUCACUGGUCUUGAUUUGUCUAAGAGUUGCCUGUCAUUGUUGCUGUGACAUUUGUGCCCACCCCCAACUCCCAGUACACACAUGGAAAGAAAAAUGAAUAUGUUUUCAAUUCUCUAUUUUUAGCAAUGUAAGGAACUGUCUUUUCUGUGAAGGUGAAUGAGAAUAAGCAGAUUUCUGUUUGUGGAAAUAGCUUUCCCCAGCACUUAGGUCAGUAAGUCCUUCAUCUUAGUUUACCUGAAUUUCACACGAAACCAGAAAACAGAAAUUGACAAAGGGAAAUGAUUUAUUUGUAGUUUGGGCCUUUAUAAACUAGAAGACAGAAAUUUCUUCUUCUUCUGGUGGGGGUGGUAAUUUUAUUCAACUGGAGGCUUUGAGACCAUAGGCCUCAUUUUCCCAGGGAACCUCAGAUCUUGGGUUUUUCUAGGGCAGUGGGUAGAAAACUUAGGCUCUUACAGUCCUUUGUUCUCCCAUAGAAAGAUUUAUUCUAACUCUCUUGCAGUUUUGGAGCCCCAGGGACAUCCUGAAGUCCUGUUAACAUACUAAUAAGGAAAGGAAAGAAGUUAGAGCCCAAGUGUGAAGGAUUAGUUUGCCAGUGAAACCUGGUGAUAAUCAAGUCUUACAGGCUUUGUUUAUUUUGCAUAUUAAUGCCUACUUUGUAGUCUGUUCUGUUACCUACCUGCUUAAUUUCUUUCCUGCCCUGCUUAUGACCAUCUUAAUGGAUUUACAGGAAGCCAGGAGACAAAGGCUGGAAUAUGGGCUGAUUUAGCUCCUAGGUGGUUCAUCUACUCCAAUACUCCAGGAUGCUCCUAUUGUCUCAAAAUGGAGACCGGUUUGUGUUUGUUUUUUUUUUUAAGUCUGGGCUGAGGAAAAUGGAGUCCUGAUGAUACCACCCCCUCCAGUUUAAAAAGAAAAAAGUCCUUUUUGUUUGUUUGUUUUUUAAGAUUUAUUUUAUUUUAUGUAUGUGAGUACACUGUAGCUGUCUUCAGACACACCAGAAGAGUGCAUCAGAUCUCAUUGCAGAUGGCUGUGAGCCACUAAAUGGUUACUGGGAAUUGAACUCAGGACCUCUGGAAGAGUAGUCAGUGCUCUUAACCACUGAGCCAUCUUUCCAGCCCUUGUUUGUUUGGUUGCUUUUAGUGUGUGUGUGUGUGUGUGUGUGUGUGUGUGUGUGUGUGUGUCGCCGGGUUACAAUCCCCACUUAUUACAGUCCCUGCCAAAUUCUUUGUGCCUAGGUGUCGGAAGUGUAAGCCUUUUGUGUUCUGUCGUGAGUAUCAGCUUCCUGUAAACUUCUUGACCUGUGAAG